GCUACAAGAGAGAUCGGCUGACCCCUCGAAUGCUGUCUCAGUGUCAACGGACCGAAUAGUUUCACUUUCUGCAGCUGUCACUCACUUGUGUAUGAUAGCGAAUCUUCAUCACUGAUCUAAAACCAGUUUUAUCCACCUGCCUUUAGGAGGACCGAAAUGACAUUACAGCAAUCACGGAUGCAGUUUCGAGAGUUUCUAGAAAUUUCCAACACAAAAAAGUGCGGAGGUACUUGGCACACUGCUGAUGCCCGUUGUAUUCAGCCAGGUCUGCUGCUGAGAAUCCAUCCUGGUCUCGUAUUCCCAUGUCCACGCCGUUCACUACCAGAAUCUGACAGCACUGCAUGGAGAAACAGACAUAUACAUUAACAACUACAUAGACUACAUACUCUGGGGCUGUUUUAUUAAAUAGAUUUACCGCUGUCGGCUAAAGCAAGCAUUAGUAUUGAUAUUGCUCAUUUAUAAGGUUAAGGUUUUACACAGUAUUACACAGAAUUGUGCACAUAUGUGUGAUUAAACGACAUAUGUGCUUAAUAUUGCUCGUUCUGAAGGGUGUAAAUAUUUGUCUGUUUGAGAAAGUUGAGUUAAGUAUGAGUGGUAAUCA